UACGUAGGGCGCAAGCGUUGUCCGGAAUUAUUGGGCGUAAAGAGCUUGUAGGUGGUUUGUCGCGUCUGCUGUGAAAAUCCGAGGCUCAACCUCGGACUUGCAGUGGGUACGGGCAGACUAGAGUGUGGUAGGGGAGACUGGAAUUCCUGGUGUAGCGGUGAAAUGCGCAGAUAUCAGGAGGAACACCAAUGGCGAAAGGCAGCACUCUGG
rnacentral:rRNA from 1 species